rnacentral:tRNA from 1 species
GGGGGCAUAGCUCAGCUGGCAGAGCGCGCGCUUAGCAUGCGCGAGGUCUCGAGUUCGAUUCUUGAUGCCUCCA